CAAUUUUGUUCAGAUUGCUCAGAGCUUGUCCGUUCUUCCAUUGGAGUUUAGAGCUUAUCUCCGCAAAUGCAGUUUGUUAUCAGUGUGUUCACUAAACCAGGAAAUUCAUACAAAGAAAGACGUGAACACCUUGUAAUAACUGAAGCGAAUAUUUGGGGAGACUUUGUGGGGUGAUUGAGGCUUUGGAAACAGAUUGGCUUGAGGUUCGUUCUACGGUAUAUUUGUGGUUAUUGACUCUUCCAAAUUGUAGCACAUUGGAUUGAGGCCAGAACUUGUCGUUUGGUCGUUGCUUUGCGACAUGUACUUUGGACCCCAAGUGGAUCAAUAUUUAGCAAAAUCCCAAAGCUCUAUUGUUGUCAUCUAUCCAUCCCUCUCAUUUCAAAUUGUCGCCGUGGAGUUUCCAGGUCGUCUUAACCUCGCUCGAUUCAAGGGCUCCAGAUAAAAAAGAUGAUUGAAUGGCCAAAGGUAACAAAUAUCCCGGGGCCAAGUCGGCAAAAAGGUCCAACGAUCGAAAACUAAUUCGAUUUAAUUCGCCUACACGAGCAAGUCAAUUCGUCGGCUACUUGGGGAGCGAUUGUUUACGCUCCACAGUACCUCAUAAUUGCCAACGUCUCAUCAGAGAUAUGAGCUCUGUCUAUCGCAUAUCCACCCAUCCACCUAUACCGAGAUCAUCAUUGCAUUCUCAAUCACUCUCGUACUUGGAAAAGCUCCCGAGCUUCCAUUGAAUUGUGAUUGUGUGCUACAUACAUGGAGGGAUGUGGACGUCUUCUUGGGCAUUGAACACCCGUUCUGUCCAGUCACGAAUCGUACACGAACGAGGAGGCCUUUUGUUGAUCCAAAUUCUGAAGACAGGCAGGAAAUAAGAGCAAUUUGCCGAUUGGAAAUGCUCGUUGGCUCUGUGUGAAGAAACCGGUCUGGUCUUUUGGUGGUUUGUCAAUGUUUAUGGGUAACCGGGAGAGCGACAAUUUUAUGACUUGAACUUUCAGUUGACUGACUGGCUUGCUUGACUGGCUUGGCCGGCAUUUUGGAUUCCGGGAUGGUUGCAACUGAAUCUCGUGAGCAUCUCUCUCAUGAUCGAAUACAUUUUUCAUGGAACCAUAUCAUGUGACAAUUUUCACGUCGAGUGUCUUAAGACGAGGAAAAAAUGGUCAUGAGAAGCGUAAUUUUUCCCUCUCUUGAUUUUUCCUUUCACCUCAGCGGGCACUGUAGUUGUCCCUGCUAAAUAGCUUUUGAAGUAGUUGGCCUUGCCGCUUGUGGCCCACGAGCUCCAGAACGAUCAAGGCCAGAACCAAAGGUCUUUGAGAGUGCACGAUUUUUCCAGUGCCUGGACGGGUUGAUGUUGCAACGCGCUUUCUGGAGACAAUUAAUCCCAAAUGAUCAUUUCCAGGAGACGUUCGGGGAUUUUUUCGAAAAUAUUUUUGUAAUGCUUCCCUGUAAUUGCCAGAAAAUUAAAUGCCUUUGAGGCGAAUAAAUUAGAAUCAUGAUCGCAUUAAAACAAUUCAUUACAGGCAGGUUCGUGAGGAAGGGCGGCUUGAUUGCGCGAGAGAGAAAAAAAAUCCCGGAGAGUUGCGUCUUCACUUUUGUCACCCUGAACAGCUCUGUUUCUUCUUCUGGGAUUUAGCGGAUUUAGCGCACUCUUGCCUACUGGGAAGACGUACGAAUGUUAGUUUCAGAUGGGUUUUCCAUCAACAUUCUCCUGUGGAAUCCUAUUAAAAGAGCCCUGAGUCGAACAACAAUGACAGUCUAGCACGGUGCAGUGAUGGAAGGUGAUUUGACAGAAAAGAAUUCUAUUAAUUUAAUGGGUUUAGCAGAACAAAUUCCCAGAAAAUAAAUCGAAUUUCUUCCAACCAAGCCCGCACUUGCCCGGGUAUCGAACACCGUCAGGUCUCACAUGAUCGACUCAGCGAAUUACCCAACCGAUGCCAAUGUAGUGGAGAAGGUAGACGGAACAAUUGAAAUGCUUACUUAGAGUACUUCAAGACUGCAGACACAGUGUACCUGGAUAUCGAACUGGAAUGGUCCCAACCGCAGAGCAUUUCAAUGUCCUUCGUCAUCCUCGAAUGUAGGGCAUGUCAAGUUGGCGAAUGCUCCUCUACGUCUCGAUUUGUGCCUUCAAUUGUUUGAGGAACAGAAAACGCGGACACACAAUAUGAAUGAACGAUCGCUUUGAAUAUGGAUCAAGGCAAAAGAGAGAGUAAUAUUCAUGAAUCCGUUUGUUAAUAACCACAAGAGAGUUCAAACAGGGAUCACCUUAAACACGUUACAAACACUC